ACCAGACUCCUACGGGAGGCAGCAGUGGGGAAUCUUCCGCAAUGGGCGAAAGCCUGACGGAGCAACGCCGCGUGAUCGAAUGAAGGCCUUCGGGUUGUAAAGAUCUGUUGACAGGGACGAAUAAGCCAUGCGAAUAGUUUGGUGUAUGACGGUACCUGUUUAGAAAGCUCCGGCUAACUACGUGCCAGCAGCCGCGGUAAUACGUAGGGAGCAAGCGUUGUCCGGAAUUACUGGGCGUAAAGGGAGCGUAGACGGUGAUGCAAGUCAGAAGUGAAAGCCCGGGGCUCAACUCCGGGACUGCUUUUGAAACUGUGUAACUGGAGUGCAGGAGAGGUAAGCGGAAUUCCUAGUGUAGCGGUGAAAUGCGUAGAUAUUAGGAGGAACACCAGUGGCGAAGGCGGCUUACUGGACUGUAACUGACGUUGAGGCUCGAAAGCGUGGGGAGCAAACAGGAUUAGAUACCCGCGUAAU
rnacentral:rRNA from 1 species